rnacentral:rRNA from 1 species
CAUGCCGCGUGUGUGAAGAAGGCCUUCGGGUUGUAAAGCACUUUCAGCGAGGAGGAAGGGGUUGUAGUUAAUAGCUGCAAUUUUUGACGUUACUCGCAGAAGAAGCACCGGCUAACUCCGUGCCAACAACCGCGGUGACUGAGCGGGCUGGCAAGGCGCAUA